rnacentral:rRNA from 1 species
GACGAACGCUGGCGGCGUGCUUAACACAUGCAAGUCGAACGGACAGGCCCUGCUUUUGUUGGUUGCUCGAGUGGCGAACGGGUGAGUAACACGUGAGUAACCUGCCCUUGACUUUGGGAUAACUUCAGGAAACUGGGGCUAAUACCGGAUAGGAGCUCCUGCUGCAUGGUGGGGGUUGGAAAGUUUCGGCGGUUGGGGAUGGACUCGCGGCUUAUCCGCUUGUUGGUGGGGUAGUGGCUUACCAAGGCUUUGACGGGUAGCCGGCCUGAGAGGGUGACCGGGCACAUUGGGACUGCGAUACGGACCAGACGCCUACGGGAGGCAGUAGUGGGGAAUUUUGCAGAAUGGGCGGAAGCCUGAUGCAGCAACGCCGCGUGCGGGAUGAUGGCCUUCGGGUUGUAAACCGCUGUCGCCUGUGACGAAGCGUGAGUGACGGUAAUGGGUAAAGAAGCACCGGCUAACUACGUG